rnacentral:lncRNA from 1 species
AUGGUUCAAAGGGGCAAUUUCAGAGGUCAAGACACGACAGAGGGACAGUGCCUGUCAAGAAUAUGCAAAAUCUCAGUUCCCUGCUUUAGGAGGAGAUUAGUGACAGUUCAACUACAACAUAAUCCUCUUUCAAAGGAAGCAUCACAUUAAGCUUUUUUGGUUCACUUCUUAUGUAUUCUCAGAAGCUGUGAGGAUUGAAGAUAUGGAGGAUGAUAUUCUAUCAAGAAUAGAAAUUUAGAAUCAUGGAAUUAAAGUCUGAAUAAUAUGCCAGUUUUCAUGGAAGUUCAUCAAGGAAUGUCUCCCAUGGGAGGGACCCCACACUGGAUCAGGGAAGGAGUGUGAAGAAUUCCCCCGAGGAGGAAGGAGCAGCAAAGACAACCUGUGAUGAACUGACCACAGUCCCAUCUCCUUUCCCACCUAACUACUGUGGGGGAAGAGAAAGAGAAUUUGGGGUUAAAGUUGAGCCCAGGAAAAAGGGGUGCUUAGGUGGAAAGUGUUUAAAAAUUUGUUUUUCUUUCUCAUUAUUCUGUUCUGAUUUGUUUGGUAAUAAAUUAAACUAAUUAAUUUUCCA